GGAGAAGAGGACGAAAGUGGUAAGGCAUCGGUUUUUGGUAUCGGCAUGCAAAGGUUCAAAUCCUUUUACUCCA
rfam:Populus trichocarpa scaffold_1_contig_489, whole genome shotgun sequence.